AUGGGAUCUCUUAGUAAUCUGUGCAAACUGGACAGUCUACAUAUUUAUGUCCGUGGUGGAGAAAUCAAUUUCCUGAGCGAAGAUUGGGUUCCUCCUCUACAACUCCGUAGACUGGCUUUCUCGUUACCGUCGAGUUGGUUCAAGAUACUGCCGUCAUGGAUCAAUCCUUCAUCCCUUUCUCUCCUCACCUAUCUUCACAUAAAGGUGGUUGAAGUGCCAUCCGAGGCGAUCCAACUUGUUGGGAUGCUUCCUGCUUUUUGUGUUCUCGAGAUAAUGGAUAUUUCUAAGUUCUAUGAAGAGCGUGUGGUGGAAAUGUCCGCCCUUUCCUCUGUUGCGUUAUUCCCGUGUGCCAUGGAGUGUCACUUCCUUUGUAUUGGUGCAGUGCCAUCUAUGUUUCCACGAGGAGCUGCACCGAGGCUUAAACACCUCGGCUUCACCUUCUCAGCUAAGUGGAUCACCCGUGAAAACAUCGAUUUGUGCAUGCGCCACAUCCCUUCCUUGGAGCGAGUCGAGGUUAAAGUUAUUAAGGAGGAAGCUAGUGAUCGCGAGGUGUAUGAAGCAAAGGCAGCGCUGAGGGCCGCAGCGGAGGACCACCCCAACCGUCCCGUCCUCGACUUACAUUGA
rnacentral:rRNA from 1 species